UAUAUCAAGGAUAUAGAAAAUGAAGAAUUGUUGGAAUCAAGGAAUAAGGGAUCUCAAAAAAAAGUUUGUGGCAUUUUAGAGGAAGGAAGCCCACGAAUAAAAGGAUUUGCUUAAUUGGUUGGUGAUAAGGAAAAGUUAAAUUCUAUUUGGUCUAUCAGUUCGUUAAUGGACAAUCUUUUGGAUAUUUUUAGUUUGUGAUGGUUAUUUUGUAAGGAAGGAAGAAAGAUAAGUUUGGAUAAGAUUAUUGUGGGUAAAAGUAUGAUAAUGGUGGAUAUAGGACUAUUCAAAAGGUUAAGAACCGAAAAUGGAAGUUUGUUCAAAUUGGAGAUUCGAAAAGCUUAUUUUGGAAUCAAGAAAUAGGAAGUCAUAUGCCAUGAGAAGUAGAAAAUAAUUUAUAUCAAGGAAAAGGAAAAGUUAAGAAUUGUUGGAAUCAAGGAAUGAGACGAAAAGUUAAGAAUUGUUGGAAUCAAGGAAUAAGGGAUCUCAAAAGAAAGUUUGUGGAAUUUUAGAGGAAGGAAGCACUCGAAUAAAAGGAUUUGCUUAAUUGGUUGGUGAUAAGGAAAAGUUAAAUUCUAUUUGGUCUAUAAGUUCGUUAAUGCACAAUCUUUUUAAUUUGUGAU